UACGGGGGGAGCAAGCGUUGUUCGGAUUUACUGGGCGUAAAGGGCGCGGUAGGCGGUCGUGACAAGUCACUUGUGAAAUCUCCGGGCUUAACUCGGAACGGUCAAGUGAUACUGUCGGACUAGAGUACAGAAGGGGCAACUGGAAUUCUCGGUGUAGCGGUGAAAUGCGUAGAUAUCGAGAGGAACACCUGCGGCGAAGGCGGGUUGCUGGGCUGAUACUGACGCUGAGGCGCGAAAGCCAGGGGAGCAAACGGG
rnacentral:rRNA from 1 species